rnacentral:lncRNA from 1 species
UCAAAACUAAUUCUCGCCCUCAAAUAUCUACCUAAUUACAACCUAAAACAUAUCCCUAAAGAAUACUCCUAAACCCUUAGUCGUUACCGUCCCCAUCUCACUGUCGCCGCCAUCAUCACUCCAUCCCACUAGCCGAACUCCAUCCCUUCAGCUAUCUUCACCAUCGACCUCCAUCUUCAAAAUCGUUGGAACCUUUGUUUCUACUUCUCCCCUUUGUAAAAAAUCGAUUCGGUCCCCAAAACUCGCCGGAAUGCCUGAACACCGGACCACACGCACGCAUACAUCCGAAUGACCACACGCACGCAUACAUCCUGAAGUAGCACAAUACACACACACCCCCAACCUCUAAAAACCUACCGAAAAACACGCCGUAUUACCCCUCAUCUUCAACCCAGAACGAGCAGGCAACAAAGGGUAAGAGAGAAAGGACGUUGGUUUAUUAUUUAGAUUUAAAAAAUAUAUAUACAAAAAUAUCUCUUUGGUUUGGUUAACUGUUAAUCACGUUUCGAAAAAGAAAAUAGGAAAAUUAAAAGGAAAUACAUAUAUCUACUUCUUCACUUUUCAAUUCGAGAUUUUUGUUUAAAUGGAUAUUAUCUGAGGUUACCGUUCGAGGGCUUCUGGUCCAAUGUUGCAAAUUCGACGGAUAGAAUUUUUCAUCUCAGUUGUUGUUCAAGUUCCGUGUUUGAUUGAGUUCCACUCAAUUGUUCGUUGUUUGUUGUCGUUCUUUUAAAACUUUGCAUAUUGGGACAGAGGUUAAUAAAAAAUCCAUUCAAACUCCAUUCGUACCUUUAAUAUCUUCCUCCUGAUGUUUGUUACAUAAGUGUUUGAAUGGUAUAUGCGUAUAUUUUCCAUAACUAUCCAUACUAUUUUUGAUCUUGUGAUGAAUUUGGCUAAUUAAUACAUUUCAACAUUUUUGAUUUCAUCAAAUAGUGUUGGCUCUUAAAUUGAAUAAGGAGUGAGAUUUGAAAGCUUAUUUUGAACGGGUUGUUGGGUAAAAGUAAAAGUAAUUUAGGUGUAGGAUAAAUUAUAUUGUUCUUUUAUUCUUGUUUAUUUACUUCUUUACUAGUAGCAUGUUUAGGUCGGUCACACUUGGGUAGGGCUACGAUUUUAUUAGUUUCUAGGCGAGAGGUUAUCCCUUUGAGUUACAUUUAUCCGAAAAAUACCCCGUAGAGUUUGUAUAUAUUUUCGGAGUAUGCCCCGAAGAAUUUGUAUUUGAAGACCAAAGAUGGACAAUUUGAGAAAGCAUAGGAUAGGAUUUUCGUUUUUAUUUUUUGUUUUAUUUUUAUCUUUUAUUAGGUGGGCUCGACCUAGAGCCUCUUUUAUGUGUCUAUUUUGCUUUUCCAUGUAUAUUUUUACCUCAAUUUGAAUAUUUUAAAAACCAACUAGAUCGAGCACACAAAUGUGACUUUCAUGAGACUUUGGGGAGUGCCAAACACCUUCUCCUCGAGUCAAAUGAACCUCAUUACCCGAAUCUUUGCUGCGGACUUAAUUUGGAGUUCAAAGUAUUUUGAAAGGAAAAUUAUUUUAAAAAAUGGUGACUUGGCACCCUGAAACCAAUGUUAGGUGGCGAUUCUGAGUUAUUUUCUUUUGAACACAAUUUUGUCACUUUUAAUAAAAAUCCUUUUAAGCUUUAAAAAUAAUUUUAUUUAUUUAAGAGGGUUAGUGAAGUUGGUAAAAAAAUGGGUGUAAUAGCUUUGGCGACUCCACUAGAGUGUUGCAGGUGCGAGCUGGUACUUGAUCUAGUUGGCUCUUAAGAUACUCAACUGAGGUGUUCGUUUUUUUAUUUUCUUUGUUUAUUUGGUUUGUUUUUCUUAUUUGCUAUUUUUUUUUUUGUUAUUUGUUUAUCGCUUUUUCUUAUGUGUUUACUGCUUCAUAAUUGUCAUCAUCUGCAUAAAAAUAGGUCUUCUUUCUGCAACAAGUCUUCCAGAGUAUGUUUGAGUGUGCACGGCCUUUUUGUGAGUCGCUCGUGUCUUUAGGGGGUGGCGCGGGAUCAUGGAGUGGGCAAACAACUAGAGCAGCCUCCAUCAACCACGUGCUACCCCGAAUUGCCAUGUUAAUGAACCCCAAAAUUAGUUAAGCCUUUAGGUCAUUCAUAUUUGUAUCAUGUCAUUCAAACUUAGUAGGGCUCGGUCCUAGGCACCGUGUCCCUUCGUAGGAAGCCUAUCUAAAUUUUGUCAAAAUGGGCCCGUGGCCCAAAAAGACAUUCAAUCAUCCCUAUAUGAUACAUGUUAUACCUUUGAGGGUAAAAUGGUCAUUUGAUGGGUCAUUAUUUGGAAAAGAAGGGUAAAAAAUGAAGCUAGUAUGGGCCAGUUAUAUUUUUCUUUCACAAGUUUUUCAAGAAAAGACCAAAAAAUUUGAAAAUGAAAAAUCCAAAAAGAUUUUGUACUUUUCCACUAUUUUCCAAAAAUUAUAUAAAAAAAAAAGAAAAUCCAAAAAAAAAAGAUUUUACAUCUUUCAUUAUUUUUCAAAAAUGACAAAAACUAUGGUUUUUCCAAAUUAGUUGUAUUUUUUUUUAAAGAAAAGCUUUUUCCCUUGUCCAAUCUUCCCGAACUAUACACACUUGAUUUUCGUCUUCCGGGGCGGGAUACGUAGAAAAUUCACAUAGGGUCUGGUCUUCCUAAUGAGCCUUAGGUUCUUGGCUUCGCGGGGCCUUAGCCAAAUCUUGCAUGUCUAGCCACUUCUGGCCAUAUCGGUCAUUCUUGCAAAAUAGGCUUAUUUUUUCAAAAGUGGUUCAAUUACCCAUGUCUUACGACCUUAAGUCCACAACUAGGUGUCAUGUUACUUUAAGGUUCGUCCUUAUUGAGUUUGCAUCUUUGCCAUAUCAUUCGUUUCCCAAAAUUGGGCAAUUUCUGCAAAUUAAUUUUAGGUCAUGAUUAUUGAGAGUUUGAAUCCAUCUAAGCCUUAGCGAGGCACUACCCAUGUCUAUGAGGUCAAUCUUGUUGAGUUUACACUUUUGGCCACUCUUGGCCGCAAUAGUUAAUUUUCAAAAAUAGCUCAAUCGCGUCUUGCAUGUGUCCCAUAUGAGGUGUUGUGGCGUCGCAUAGUGUCUUGAGUCCCUAACUCUUUUUUGACUUAUUUUUCUCAUUCAGGUAUGGAUUAGUGUACAAGAGCUCGAGCAUGAUAAACACACCAAGACCACUGCAUCUAGGAGCUGAUUAUAGAUACUUUUAUGUAUUGAGUUUAUCAUUCAUGUUGUCUUUUACUUUCUAUCCUUGUACAGAAUUAUCGAGUCUUUUGUUAUAUUACUUCCCAUUUUAUACUUGAAAAACC